CUUUCUCUGAACGACAUUACGGUUCAGGGCGGAAGGAG
ncrna:unclassified sequences L31-Firmicutes ribosomal protein leader